rnacentral:rRNA from 1 species
CACGUGAGUAACCUGCCCCCUACUCUGGGAUAACCUCGGGAAACCGAAGCUAAUACCGGAUACGACGCGCGACGGCAUCGUCUGCGCGUGGAAAGAGGUGUUUAAUAAACACUGUCGGUGGGGGAUGGACUCGCGGCCUAUCAGCUAGUUGGUGAGGUAAUGGCUCACCAAGGCGACGACGGGUAGCCGGCCUGAGAGGGUGACCGGCCACACUGGGACUGAGACACGGCCCAGACUCCUACGGGAGGCAGCAGUGGGGAAUAUUGCACAAUGGGCGCAAGCCUGAUGCAGCAACGCCGCGUGAGGGACGACGGCCUUCGGGUUGUAAACCUCUUUUAGUAGGGAAGAAGCGAAAGUGACGGUACCUGCAGAAAAAGCACCGGCUAACUACGUG